AAGACUAUACUUUCAGGGAUCAUUUCUAUAGUGUUUAACUAGAGAAGUGCGAUCGAAAGUGUUUGGGCCGCGCUAACCACGAGGAGGAGUCACAGUGUUCUCUUCUGAGCGCGAAGCGAGCGGGCAGUGUUGCUUUGGUGCAGCUGCUGCCUGUUAUUGAUGACCGUUCCUUCUUCUCUCUGGGAAGGCUGGAGGGAGAGAACACAGGCUGAGUGGUU
ensembl:snoRNA